rnacentral:rRNA from 1 species
AACCUGGUUGAUCCUGCCAGUAGUCAUAUGCUUGUUUCAAGGACUAAGCCAUGCAAGUCUCAGAAUAAAUGGAUCACAGUGAGUCUGCAGACAGCUCAUUAAAUCAGCUAUAAUCUACGCCGAGAAACUGCCUUAUGGCAGACUAUUGGAUAACUUUGGUAACCCCAAAGCUAAUACAUGUCAGCAAGACCCGCACAGAUUCUCCCUUGGGCUCUUUGGGCUCGAGGCUGUGCCGGGUGCAAUUGACCGAAACAAAAACCAACGCUAGCAAUAGCAGCGGUGAUUGGCUGACUCAGGUCUACCGAGUAGUAGCGCAUCUUCGGGGCGCUUGUCCGCAUGAGCAUCUGCCCUAUCAGCUUUUGAUGGUAGUGUAGUGGACUACCAUGGCUGUAACGGGUAACGGGGAAUUAGGGUUCGAUUCCGGAGAGGGAGCCUGAGAAACGGCUACCACAACUAAGGUUGGCAGCAGGCGCGCAAAUUGCCCAAUAGCAACACAUCGCUGAGGCAGCGAAGAGAAAUAGCAACUUCAUGCGGCAUUGCCGUGUGAAGAUUGCCAUGGACGAUAUCUAAACCUGUCGGUGAGUAUCAAUUGGUGGACAAGUCUGGUGCCAGCACCCACGGUAAUUCCAGCACCAAUAGC